rnacentral:rRNA from 1 species
AACCCGACUACAUGAAGCUGGAAUCGCUAGUAAUCGCGAAUCAGAAUGUCGCGGUGAAUACGUUCCCGGGUCUUGUACACACCGCCCGUCACACCAUGGGAGUCGGAAAUGCCCGAAGUCAGUGACCUAACCGAAAGGGAGGAGCUGCCGAAGGUGGAGCCGGUAACUGGGGUGAAGUCGUAACAAGGUAGC